GACGAACGCUGGCGGCGUGCUUAACACAUGCAAGUCGAACGGUGAAGCGCCUUCCUUUUUGGUGGGUGUGGAUGAGUGGCGAACGGGUGAGUAACACGUGAGUAACCUGCCCCCUUCUUCUGGAUAACCGCAUGAAAGUGUGGCUAAUACGGGAUAUUCUGGGUCUGUCGCAUGAUGGGUCUGGGAAAGAUAUUGUUUCGGUGGGGGAUGGGCUCGCGGCCUAUCAGCUUGUUGGUGGGGUGAUGGCCUACCAAGGCGGUGACGGGUAGCCGGCCUGGGAGGGUGGACGGUCACACUGGGACUGCGACACGGCCACGACUCCUACGGGAGGCAGCAGUGGGGAAUAUUGCACAAUGGGCGCAAGCCUGAUGCAGCGACGCCGCGUGAGGGAUGGAGGCCUUCGGGUUGUGAACCUCUUUCGCCAGUGAAGCAGGCCUGCCUCGUUUGUGGGUGGGUUGACGGUAGCUGGAGAAGAAGCGCCGGCUAACUACGUG
rnacentral:rRNA from 1 species